GGCCCGGUGGUGUAACGGGAGCCACGCCGGUCUCAGAAGCCGGUGCCGUAACGGGCGUGAGGGUUCAACUCCCUCCUGGGCCAC
rnacentral:tRNA from 1 species